UACGUAGGGUGCAAGCGUUAAUCGGAAUUACUGGGCGUAAAGCGUGCGCAGGCGGUUGUGCAAGACAGAUGUGAAAUCCCCGGGCUCAACCUGGGAAUUGCAUUUGUGACUGCACGGCUAGAGUAUGGCAGAGGGGGGUGGAAUUCCACGUGUAGCAGUGAAAUGCGUAGAGAUGUGGAGGAACACCGAUGGCGAAGGCAGCCCCCCUGGGCCAAUACUGACGCUCAUGCACGAAAGCGUGGGGAGCAAACAGG
rnacentral:rRNA from 1 species